rnacentral:rRNA from 1 species
GAUGAACGCUAGCGGCAGGCUUAACACAUGCAAGUCGAGGGGCAGCGCGAUGUAGCAAUACAUUGGCGGCGACCGGCGCACGGGGUGCGUAACACGUAUGGAACUUACCCUUUACUGGGAGAUAGCCCGGAGAAAUCCGGAUUAAUAUCCCAUAAUAAACGAAGUGGCAUCACUUUGUUUUGAAAGCUCCGGCGGUAAAGGAUGGCCAUGCGCACGAUUAGCUAGUAGGUGAGGUAACGGCUCACCUAGGCUACGAUCGUUAGGGGGCCUGAGAGGGUUAUCCCCCACACUGGUACGGAGACACGGGACCAGACUCCUACGGGAGGCAGCAGUGAGGAAUAUUGCGCAAUGGAGGCAACUCUGACGCAGCCAUGCCGCGUGCAGGAAGAAGGCGCUACGCGUUGUAAACUGCUUUUAACCGGGAAGAAACCCUCGACGUGUCGGAGGUUGACGGUACCGGAGGAAUAAGCACCGGCUAACUUCGUGCCAGCAGCCGCGGUAAAGUCGAUA